UGAGGAAUAUUGGUCAAUGGGCGAGAGCCUGAACCAGCCAAGUAGCGGGCAGGAUGACGGCCCUAUGGGUUGUAAACUGCUUUUAUAUGGGAAUAAAGUGAGGGAGGUGUCCCUUAUUGCAUGUACCAUACGAAUAAGGACCGGCUAAUUCCGGGCCAGCAGCCGCGGUAAUACGGAAGGUCCAGGCGGUAUCUGGAUUUAUUGGGUUUAAAGGGAGCGUAGGCGGUUUGUUAAGCGUGUUGUGAAAUGUAGGAGCUCAACUUCUAGUUUGCAGCGCGAUGUGUCAGACGUGCGUGCGCACAACGUAGGCGGAAUUCAUGGUGUAGCGGGGGGAUGCUUGGAUAUCAUGAAGAACUACGAUUGCGAGGGCAGCUUGCGGGAGCGCAUCUGUCGCUGAAGCACGAAGGUGCGGGUAUCGAACAGG
rnacentral:rRNA from 1 species